GACGAACGCUGGCGGCGUGCUUAACACAUGCAAGUCGAACGGAAAGGCCCUGCUUUUGUGGGGUGCUCGAGUGGCGAACGGGUGAGUAACACGUGAGUAACCUGCCCUUGACUUUGGGAUAACUUCAGGAAACUGGGGCUAAUACCGGAUAGGAGCUCCUGCUGCAUGGUGGGGGUUGGAAAGUUUCGGCGGUUGGGGCUGGACUCGCGGCUUAUGAGCCUGUUGGUGGGGUAGUGGCUUACCAAGGCUUUGACGGGUAGCCGGCCUGAGAGGGGGACCGGCCACAUUGGGACUGAGAUAGGGCCCAGACGCCUACGGGAGGCAGCAGUGGGGAAUAUUGCGCAAUGGGCGGAAGCCUGAUGCAGCAGCGCCGCGUGCGGGAUGACGGCCUUCGGGUUGUAAACCGCUUUCGCCUGUGACGAAGCGUGAUUGACGGUAAUGGGUAAAGAAGCACCGGCUAACUACGUG
rnacentral:rRNA from 1 species